rnacentral:tRNA from 1 species
GCCUGGGUGGCUCAGUCGGUUGAGCAUCUGACUUCAGCUCAGGUCAUGAUCUCGGGGUUCAUGAGUUCGAGCCCCGCGUCAGGCU